AUUGAACGCUGGCGGCAUGCCUUACACAUGCAAGUCGAACGGUAACGGGCCUUCGGGUGCCGACGAGUGGCGAACGGGUGAGUAAUGCAUCGGAACGUACCUUUCAGUGGGGGAUAACGUAGCGAAAGUUACGCUAAUACCGCAUAUUCUGUGAGCAGGAAAGCAGGGGAUCGCAAGGCCUUGCGCUCUUUGAGCGGCCGAUGUCAGAUUAGCUAGUUGGUGAGGUAACGGCUUACCAAGGCGACGAUCUGUAGCGGGUCUGAGAGGAUGAUCCGCCACACUGGAACUGAGACACGGUCCAGACUCCUACGGGAGGCAGCAGUGGGGAAUUUUGGACAAUGGGGGCAACCCUGAUCCAGCCAUGCCGCGUGAGUGAAGAAGGCCUUCGGUUGUAAGACUCUUCGGUCCGGGAACGGAAAUACGCGAUGGUUAAGUACCUACGUGUGGA
rnacentral:rRNA from 1 species